rnacentral:rRNA from 1 species
AUUGAACGCUGGCGGCAUGCUUUACACAUGCAAGUCGAACGGUAACAGGCCGCAAGGUGCUGACGAGUGGCGAACGGGUGAGUAAUGCAUCGGAACGUGCCCAGUCGUGGGGGAUAACGCAGCGAAAGCUGCGCUAAUACCGCAUACGAUCUCUGGAUGAAAGCGGGGGACCGAAAGGCCUCGCGCGAUUGGAGCGGCCGAUGUCAGAUUAGGUAGUUGGUGGGGUAAAGGCCCACCAAGCCAACGAUCUGUAGCUGGUCUGAGAGGACGACCGACCACGAGGGGACGGAGAGUGGGCCAAGCCUCCUAGGGGAGGGAGCGGUGGGGAAUUUGGGACAAUGGGGGCACGGUGGAUCCAGCAUUGCGGGGUGAAGGAAGAAGGCUUUGGGGUUGUAACCUGUUUUUGUAGGAAACGAAACGGUCCGGGCUAAUACCCGGGGCUAAUGACGGUACCGUAAGAAGAAGCACCGGCUAACUACGUGCCAGCCGCCGCGGUAA